AACCUCGUAUGUGAUUGGAGGACCCUUAGACUCCUCCUCCAAUCACGUGUGAGGUCAUAGGCAUGACUGAUACAGCAGUACUUGCAAGACGAGCAUACAAACAGACACGUGUGUUACUAUAUUCAGAAGAACUGUAUCUCCAGUUCCUUUGUUUGGUUUUUGCUGGUUCGUGAAUAAUGGCGGGACGACGUCUCGCGUUCAACUCGCCUUCAACUCCUCUCCGCGGUCACCAACUUUCGGCCAGUCCGCAGACAGACGAGAAGAAGCUGCUGAAUGCUCUCAGUGGAUCGUCUCGUCAACUCCAACAACAAACUGCCGAUAUCAACGAGCGGUUCGCUCCACUGGAGCGUUCGGGACUCUGCGGGUUUCUGUCCAUGGAGGAGAGGAACCGACUCAAAGAAGAGGAGACGGGCGCACAAUCCCAAGAUAGCGGAAGCGGUGCGGAGUCUUCACAACGCCGAGACGAACUACAGGCGCUACGAACCGGAGCAAGGACUAAUCUCGCCUCAUAAUGAGGCGGUGACCUCGUAUUUGCUCCGGGAAAAGUCCAGAUUUAGACGACGUCAUUGUGUCCGCCUGUGAGACGUAUUGUGAGACGGGACGCAGGAGCUUCAGGUUCAGCCGGAACACUCAUUGCGGAGUUCAGCGCGGAGUCGAGCGAGAAGAAAGCGGCUGCUGGAAUCGAGACAAAGUGUGCUGG
ensembl:lncRNA